GAUGAACGCUGGCGGCGUGCCUAAUACGUGCAAGUCGAGCGAACGGACGAGAAGCUUGCUUCUCUGAUGUUAGCGGCGGACGGGUGAGUAACACGUGGAUAACCUACCUAUAAGACUGGGAUAACUUCGGGAAACCGGAGCUAAUACCGGAUGAUAUUUUGAACCGCAUGGUUCAAAAGUGAAAGACGGUCUUGCUGUCACUUAUAGAUGGAUCCGCGCUGCAUUAGCUAGUUGGUAAGGUAACGGCUUACCAAGGCAACGAUGCAUAGCCGACCUGAGAGGGUGAUCGGCCACACUGGAACUGAGACACGGUCCAGACUCCUACGGGAGGCAGCAGUAGGGAAUCUUCCGCAAUGGGCGAAAGCCUGACGGAGCAACGCCGCGUGAGUGAUGAAGGUCUUCGGAUCGUAAAACUCUGUUAUUAGGGAAGAACAUAUGUGUAAGUAACUGUGCACAUCUUGACGGUACCUAAUCAGAAAGCCACGGCUAACUACGUG
rnacentral:rRNA from 1 species